rnacentral:rRNA from 1 species
UACGUAGGGUGCGAGCGUUGUCCGGAAUUAUUGGGCGUAAAGAGCUUGUAGGCGGUUUGUCGCGUCUGCUGUGAAAAUCCGGGGCUCAACCCCGGACUUGCAGUGGGUACGGGCAGACUAGAGUGUGGUAGGGGAGACUGGAAUUCCUGGUGUAGCGGUGAAAUGCGCAGAUAUCAGGAGGAACACCGAUGGCGAAGGCAGGUCUCUGGGCCACUACUGACGCUGAGAAGCGAAAGCCAGGGGAGCAAACGGG